GGGGCACGGGCGCGUCGGCGUCGGAGUGCAGGAAAUCCUUGACGUCGACGGCGAGCUUGGCGACCGUCUCUCCCGCGGCCAUCGCGGCGGUCGUGUAGCCAAGCGUGGCCGUCAGAAGCUGCUGCGCGCGCUCGGAGCGAGACACCCUCUGGUACGCUGCGUGACGAUUCGAGGUUGAUAAUUGGGGUCAGUCCAAGCGUGUUGGGGGGGGGCGCACGAGGGCGAGGGGGCACGGGGGACGCCCGGGUCGGGUCCGGGGGGACCGUGUGGCGAUGGAUGGAACCCGCGGGACGACUCACCGUAGUAUCCCGCACCAGCCGCCGCGGCGGUGAGGAGAACCUUCCGACGCCAGGUGCUAGCGGGAGCCGACAUAAUUUAGGACAGGACGAAUGAGUGAAAGAAUUGGCCUGCUCCCUGCCCCUGCCCCUGCCUUCAGAUGGAUGCCCCGACGGGUUCAGCGCAGACGGACCCGAUCGUGCGGUCUGUGCUCGCAGUCGGGUCGCCAAACGCCGGCCUCUCUCUGCCGAGUCGGCCCAAGACCGCGAGAUCACCGUGAAUGAACUCCCUAUCCGCGUCGCUUCACAGACACCAGAGAACGUCGGGCGACAAAAAAU
rnacentral:lncRNA from 1 species